CCUACGGGGGGCAGCAGUGAGGAAUAUUGGUCAAUGGCCGGAAGGCUGAACCAGCCAAGCCGCGUGAAGGACGAAGGUGCCAAGCAUUGUAAACUUCUUUUGUCAAGGGACAAAAUCAGGCUCGAGAGCCUGACCGCGGGUACUUGAAGAAAAAGCAUCGGCUAACUCCGUGCCAGCAGCCGCGGUAAUACGGAGGAUGCGAGCGUUAUCCGGAUUUAUUGGGUUUAAAGGGUGCGCAGGCGGAGGUGCAAGUCAGCGGUCAAAUUGCGGGGCUCAACCCCGUACUGCCGUUGAAACUGCAGCCCUUGAGUGCGCGAGAAGUAUGCGGAAUGCGUGGUGUAGCGGUGAAAUGCAUAGAUAUCACGCAGAACUCCGAUUGCGAAGGCAGCAUACCGGCGCGCAACUGACGCUCAUGCACGAAAGCGUGGGUAUCGAACAGGAUUAGAUACCCCGGUAGUC
rnacentral:rRNA from 1 species